AAAAGAUAUCAAAAGAUACUAUGAUUAAAAUAUUUUAAAAAUUAUAUUUAUUAUUAGUCUGAAUUAAAAUAUAGUAUGAAUUUUUAUGAAUAGGUCCAUUAAGUCCAUUUUUAAAAAAAUCACACAUGAAUCAAGGUUGUGACUUCUCUUUUAAUAUAUAAGAUGUUGAAACAUUACAUUUUAUCAGUUUUAUUGAUCUGAAGUAGAAAUGGGGUGUGGUGUGAUUAAUAUUGCAUGUGGAAGUUUUGAUGUAACAUCAAGUUACGGUAUUAAAUUAGACGUGGAGUUAGAUAAAUGUCUGAGUUCUAUAUGGUUAUUAGGCGGAUAUCAAUGCAUUUAUGAGAAAAAGCAAGUAGAGACAUGGUUUAGUUAGCUUAUGACCUACCUUAUUUAAUGGUAUUGGAAUAUUUUCGGUGCCUAAGAACAUGUUUAAUGAGAGUUUUUAGGGUGAAGUUCUUAACGGAAAUCUUAUUUAAGAAUCGGUUCUUAACUUUUCUAGUUAAAAGUUAAGAGACGAGUUCUUAUAUUCCGCUAAGAAUCACACCCUAAUAAUCAUCCAUUAAACAUUCUUUAAUAAGUAAUAAUGUAUCUAUCUUUUACGUAAAUAUGUUCUUGGACUACCACUAAUUUUAAUUUUUUUUACAUGCCGUUACGUAUUUCUUUCUGAUUAUUUGAUAUUAGAUUAUAGAAAAAUUGGGCUAAAUAACUAAAAAUAAAGCAUAUUUUAGAAUCUAACCAAAAAAAAGUCUCCAUUAUUACUAUAUUAUAUACUAUAUUGCCCUUAGUAUCUGGUCAUUAAAAUCUCAAAUACCUUCUUCUUUAAUUCCUAAUCACUGCCACCAUCGUCUCUUUCUUAAUCAUUACUGUUUUUUUAUUGUCACAGCUUCCACUACAAUCACCACAAAUCAGUAAUCUUUGUUCAUUAUUUUAUAUUUUUGUACACCACAAUCGUAUCAAUCAGCAUUUCUUCUUCUAUAAUCAACACCGCCUCCAUCAACUCUGUUAUUCUGUCACUUGGCCACCGCUAUUGUUAUCAUUUUUUUAAUUAUUAAAAUCUGUAAUCUUCGCUUUCAUAUUUUUUCCAUAGCAUUCUUCAAAAUAACCCCAUCUCCUUGAUAUCAGUCGGCACCUCUUCCACCAUAACCACCACCACUCGUAUGUACUAUAUGUUUUAAGUUGUACUAUGCUAUUUGAAUAAUAUAUACUAUUCUAGUUUGUUGUUGCUAUUUUAUUUUAAUAAUGUUUCGUAUUAUGUAUUAUAUAUGUGCAUGUUUUGAUAUUUGGAUUAGAGUUUAUAUUCCCUUUUAGGAUUUAGUGAUUAGUGUUUUAGGUUUAGUUUAUGGAAAGAUUGGGUUGACGUUGGUGUAAAUAAUAUCUCAUAGACAUUUUAAAAUUUGAAUAAUAUGUACUAUGUCAUUUCGUUUGUUACUAUUUUAUUUUGAUAAUACUUCAUAUUAUGUACAUAGUGCAUAUUUUGAUAUUUCCGUUAGGGUUUAUAUUUUCUUUAGGAUUUAGUGAUUAGUGUUUGAUUUAUGUGUAGAAAUCAGCCAUAGAUGUCGAAGAGGUGAACACAAUUCAUUUCCGGUCAUACCAUUAUAUUUAAUAAUUUUACUAAUACUUGCUAUACCAUCUAGUUUGUUCUAUACUAUUUCAAAUCUAUGUUAUAAAUGAUCAUUGGUUUCUACGUAUCCACGUCCGUCACUUUCUUUGAAACCACCACCACCAUUGUUACUACCACCACAACCACCACCUAUCUCAUUGUCUCUUUUACAUAUUUUAAAUUAUCGCCGCUUCACCAUCACCACCUUACUCAUCUCCAUUGUUAUGCUACUAUGAUAAUCAUCACUGUCACGAUACAUAGCCGCCCCUACCAUAAUUACGACCGCCGCCGAUGCGAUAAUCACCAUCACCCCGAUAACCGCCAGCACUGUAACAUCGAAACCAUUAUCAUCACCGAUUGUUUCAAAAUGUCGCUGUUUCUUUUUCAUCACUGUCAUCACCCAUAUCUUGUAACUUACUUUCAUUUUCUUUUCUUUUUCAAUUUUAAUGUCAUCAAUUAUUUUUUUUACCGUGUACCUGCAAAACAUAAGGUUACAACCGGAAGGAAAAGGAAAAAAAGUGUUAUCCAUUUAAUUAUGUCAAAUCGAUAGCUAUAUUCUUAAUAUUGAUUCCAAAAUUGGUUAGUUGGCAAAUUAACCCAUUAUAGAAAAAUUGGGCUAUAAUGGGUGAUUGUAGUGGAAGCAGUGACAAUAAAAGAGACAGUGGUGAUUAAGAAAGAAACGAUGGUGGUAGUGAUCUAUACUAUUAAAAGGAAAGGAGUCCAAAAAAAUCUACUUAUAAAAAGUUGUUGCAUCUAUUCAUUAAUAUUUUUUUAGUCUUACCCUUAUUUUCUCUAACUAUACCAUAUAUAUUGAGAUAAUUUGCUAAUGUUGCUUCAUUUAAUUUUCUAACGUAACAUGUGGAAUAUUUGGUUUCUUUAAAUACAUGUCCUUAUUUAUUUUCUAGCGUAACAUGUGAAAUAUUUAGUUUCUUUAAAUACAUGUUUUCAUUUAUUUUCUAUCGUAUAAAAAAUAUUACAAAUUUAAUUUUUAAGAAAUAUGAAUAUAAAAGUCUGCAACUUAAAAUAUACUAACAAACUUUUUCAAACCUCUAGAAUAUGAAUAUACACCUCAAAAUAUAUUGUCAAAAAAAUUAUUAUUUUUAAUUUUUAAUAAAAUGAUUUCUUGAAUAUAAAAAUUGGAUGCAGUUUAUUUUUCAGAUUUGUAUUUUAAUAAAAUAUUGCAAAUAUAAAAAUGCAAGGAACAAAUAUCAUUAUUUUUGUUAAAGUAAAAUUUGUCACAACAUAUUUCCGCUCUUUAAAAUCGCGGAUCAAAUAGUUGAUUCAGUUUUAUAUACUAUUAUAAUGUAUAUCUGAAAUGUAAUCAAAAUUUUAAAAAUAUUAUAAGAUUGUUCUGGGUCUUUGUCAGGUCAACCGGUGUUGGUUCAGGGGUUAAUGACAAAUUUUUGGAUUGUCAAACUUUGAAUAUAUAAAUAGGUUUUCAUUAAUCCAAUAUUUUAAUUAUAUUAUUUAAAAUUAUAAAAUUCAGGUAUCCGUUUGAUUCUCGGUUCUGUUUAUUUUUUUUAUUCCAGAGAUAUAUGAUUUGUUAGGUUAUUUAUGAAAUUAAGUUCAAUUGAUUUUGUUGUUUUUAGUUUGGUAUGGUUCGAUACGCACUUCCGGAUAAAUAUGCCCAAACUAUAUAUUAUCUAUAUAAAAUGAUUUCAAUAGAAUUUAUUUAAUUUCAAAAACAAACCCGCGCUUAAAAAAAGCGCGGGUCAAAAUCUAGUUAGUAAUUAAAGAAGAAGGUGUUUGAGAUUUUAAUGACCGGAUACUAAGGGCGAUAUAGUAUAUAAUAUAGUAAUAAUGGAGACUUUUUUUUUUAGUUAGAUUCUAAAAUAUGCUUUAUUUUUAGCUAUCUAGCACAUUAUCAUCACCGAUUGUUUCAUAAACGUUGCUGUUUUUUUUAUUACUGUCAUCACCCAAAUCUCAUAACUUCCUUUCAUUUUCUUUUCUUUUUCAAUUUUAAUGUCAUCAAUUAUUUUUUUUACCGUGUACCUGCAAAACACAAGGUUACAACCGGAAGGAAAAAGAAAAAAAGUGUUAUCCAUUUAAUUAUGUCAAAUCGAUAGCUAUAUUCUUAAUAUUGAUUCCGAAAUUGGUUAGUUGGCAAAUUAACCCUAGAUUAUAUAUGUCUUUUUUCACUUGCCAGUUUUGACCAUACGUUACUACGUACGCUUUUACCACCUAACAAUGGACUUGCUAAAACUAGAUAAUGAUUUUAAGUUUUAUUGACGGGCUCAAAAUAAUAUAUAAGUUAUUCAAUAGUUUUAUAUAAUCAUGUUUCCCAGUUAAUUAUCAGAAAAAUACAGUUAAAAUAAUCGAAACUACUAUCUCUAUUAGUAAAGCCUUCUUCUCAAAAGGUAAAAGUGUCAUAUUUGAAUCUCAUCAACUGCAGAAGUGGAUAUAACAAUUGAUUCAUCUCCCUGAACCAAGAAGAUUACAAACUUUACCCUAAAACUUAUUUCAAUAAAAACACAAUUAAACUGCUUCUUUCAAAUGUACAGUUAAAAAAUUUUCCAAAACUUUUUUUUUUGUGCACAAUUCAUAAUAUUAAUACUAAAGAAAGGCCUCAGGCCCAAGUCAGUCCAUUGGAGGAUCCAAUAAAGACAGAUCUAAUUAAGAGCUUAGCCAACACGUCGGCUUCUUUGUUGAAAUCACGAGAAGUAUGAAAAAAGAGAUUUUGACGAACGCAGAGCAGAUUGCCUGGAUAUCACAAAUGAUUCCAUGAAUUUCCUUCACCUGCAUGUCAUUGUUGAUUGGUCUUAUGAGAGUUAGGUUAUCGGAGGACAUCAUGAGAAAAGAGAUCUCUAGGGUUGCUGUCUUGAUGAGGGCGAGUCGCAUCGCGAAAGCUUCGGCUAUCAGGAGGGACUUGACGAAUGCUUGCGUACUUGAUCCUUCCAACUUGGAGUUCAUUCUUUCUCCUGUGAAGAUCCAGGCGAGACCGGUUCGCUUUGAUAUUUUGUUCCAAGCCGCAUUGGUUCUACUGAUCGUUUCUGAUCUUGUUGGCGCAGAGCAAGGUUUGUUCUUCACAAUAGUAGGAUCAUAUUUUUGCAUUUUUAUUAUGAAUUUGUGUAUAUAUGGAUACUUUUAUGAAUAAAUAGCCAUUAAAAAUUUAUAUACACAUUUAGGAGAAAGCGAUCACAUUUCAGUUACGGAGAUGUUUUGUUUAAGUAUAAUAAAACAGUGAAACACUAAUAGGAGAAUGGAUAAUCUUACUGGCAGUUAAUUUGCUUUUUUGUCCGAAACACCAAACUCAUGCCCAUUUUUCGCAUAUUUUUCGCAUGUCUUUGUUUCUUUUUUUGUAUUGAUUGAGUUAUGUUCAUUUUACUUUUUGCUUAGAUGUAUUCGAAUUAUUAUUAGUUUCCUAUUAUUUAUAAGGGGAUAAAAAUAGAUAAAACGAGAGGAAAUGAAUUAAAAGCAGUGGUUACAAAUGAGCUGGAUUCAGUUGUAUUUCAACUACGUAUGGCUCUGUAAAGUGAACUCAACUUGAUUUCUUUCUACGUAUGCAGACCGUUAUAUGGUAGGCUAACCAGCGUGAGUAGCGAAUAACGUGAUCGUUAUUAAGGCAUAUACCGCAUAUGUAAUAUAACAUACAAUAGGACAAAUUUAUAAUAAGGUUAAUUUUCUAAUAUGUAAUCAAUCCAUGUAUUCACGGAAAUGGUGAUGAAAUAUGACAAAAUUGUUUUCAUUUUUUUUAAAAACGCUGACAAAAUUGUUUUCAUUGAAUGAGAUUUUGUCACCAAUGGACUCCUAUUGUUCGAGGACGGUUCAAAUGAUGGGAAAAUGAUCGGUAUUGAAUAUUUAAGUAUUCAUGAAGCAAAAUUAUUCUUGAAUAAAUUAUUGAUUGUUAUAAAUGAAAAUAAUGAUUUCGUCUAUUUUUUAAGUAUUGAUUAUAUUCAUUUCAAUUUUCACAGUCAGCAACGACGAUAAAUUUAAGAAUAAUUUUACGUAACUUAUAUCUGAAUAUUAAAUGUGCCAAUUAAAGUGGGUGUUUAAAAUAAAACGCAAUGUCGAUGGGAGUAUUAACAAAUACAAGGCAUGACUAGUAGCUAAAGGGUAUGUUCAGAGACAUGGAAUUGACUACGAUGAAUUGUUUGCUCCGGUUGCUAGAAUAGAGACAAUUUGUCUGGUCAUUGCAUUAGCCGUUUCAUCCGGUUCGGAAAUUCAUCGCCUCAACGUAAAGACUGCAUUCUUACAUGGUGAACUAAAGGUAGAGGUAUUUGUUUCUCAGCCUGAGGGUUUUGUGAUCGCAUGGCAAGAAGGAAAGGUGUACAAACUAAAGAAAGCUUUAUACGUUAAGCUAAAAAAAAUACUUGUUGGUUUAAACUUUCACCGAUGCUCUAAAGAACCACGCUCUACAAGAGGCUAGACAAGUCGAGUUUUUUUAUCGUAGUAGUAUAUGUUGAUGAUCUACUCAUCACAGGCUCAUCGUUAUCAGCUAUAAUGGAGUUCAAAAGGAACAUGGCAAUCAUGUUUGAGAUGAGCGACCUUGGAAAGCUGACAUACUAUUUGGGUAUUGAAGUACAUAAGUUUGAUGGUGGCAUUACAUUGAAACAGAGCCGAUAUGCGAUGAAGAUCCUUGAGGAAAGUGGAAUGGGUACGUGCAGCUUACCCCAUGUUCCCAUGGACUUUAAUGUGACGCUAUCCAAGUUUCCUGCAGAAAAGAAGAUUGAUGAAACAGAGUACAAAAGAAACAUAGGUUGCUUGCAAAAUUUGUUGCAUACUCGUCCGGACCUGUCAUUCAGCGUUGGCCUACUAAGUCGAUACAUUCAGGAACCAAAAGAAUCACAUGGCACAGCGUUGAAACAAAUACUGAGAUAUGUACGUGGAACUAUCUCUCUUGGUCUUAUAUUCAUUUGAUCAACAAAGCUGGAAGUAGUUGGGUUUAGUGAUAGCUCAUAUAAUGUCGAUGAAGAUGCUGGUAAGAGCACAACGGGUCAUGUGUUCUAUCUCGAUGAUAGUUCGAUAACUAGGAGUUCUCAGAAGCAAGAGAUUGUUGCACUAUCUUCUUGUGGCGCUGAAUUCAUGGCUGCCACAUAAGCAGCAAAACAUGCGAUAUGGUUACAAGAAUUACUUGGUGAGAUUGUGGGGAGAGAGUGCGAGAAAGUGAAGAUAAGAGUUGAUAAUAAAUCUGCAAUUGCGCUUACUAAAAACCCAGUUUUCCGUGGUAGAAGCAAGCAUAUACAUCGGAGAUUUCAUUUUAUACGCGAGUGUGUUGAAAAGGAGCAAGUUGAGGUGGAGCACAUACCCGGAAGUCUUCAGAGAGCUGAUAUAUUAAUGAAAUCAUUGGGAAGGGCUAAGAUUGUCGAGAUGAGAAAUCUGAUUGGUGUCAAGGACGUGGACGAAGGUGCAUUCAAGCUUGUGGGGGAGAAUGUUGGAUAAGCUUGAAUCACAAGUUUCCUUUUUCUUAUUAUGUUAUGAUUAUCUAAAGGAUUAGGAAUUAUGAUAUAUGUUAGGAUUAGGAGUUUUCUAGUUCUAUAUAAGGAGAUGCAUAUUGUGUUGCAUAACUUGUGAUUUGUGAUUUGAGAGCAUUGGGUUUUGAGUUGGUUUUAUCUAAAGCAUUGAAGUGAUUAAUAAGAAAAACGUGUUUCUUACUUUGAUUCUUGAGUUCUAUAGAUCUGAUAGUGCACUACCGACCUAAAUACGGAAAUGACGUAGAGAGAGAGAGGUCCUGCGAGAGGAAAUAUGGUAUGGCCGCGUGGCCGCAAGAGAGGAGACCUGAGGGCAAGCAAGAGAUAGAAAUCCCCGGUGUCAGAGAGAGAGAGAGAGAGAGAGAGAGAGAGAGAGAGAGAGAGAGAGAUCUGGUGUGGCGCCAAGGGAGGUGGUCCAGCGUGAGAAAUUUUGAGUCUGAUCUUGAGUUCGACAAAUUUGUUGUCGUCGUCGCUGUCUAGUGAUCAGUUUCAUGCUGCUCUUGUCAUCAUCACUGAGUCACUAGGAGAGGUUAAACCAUGGGAGAAAGCUACAGAAGAGGAUGAGAAGAGAAAAAAUUAUGAGAUUUGGGUUUUGAAUUUUGAUAUAAUAAAGUAAAAUAUAUUAUUAUGUAAAAUUUUUCUAAAAAAUUAUUGUUUUUUGAGAAAAAUUAAUAUUUAAGCAGAAGAUAAAAUUUAAAAAAAAAAUUUAACGGGUAUAUUAAAACUGUUGGCGGGAAUAUUAAUCCGGUUUAUAAGACUUCAUUGAAGUCUUCUCAUGUCUAUACCCUAAAUAUAAACCAUAAAUUCAAAUAACUAAUUCAAUAGAAACAAACAAUUCAUUAAACUAAAAUUCAACAUAAAAGUGUUUAAUAUACACAAAACUAAACACAUAUAGAUCAAAAUUUAAUUUAAUUUUUUUUAAAUGUUAAGUUUCUAAAAUCUAACCCUAAAAAUACAUACAUACUACAACAUAUGUUACGAAACCAUUAACCAAAUAAUACCAUGACUCAUCUAUGUUGAAAACAAUUCAAUUUUACUAUAUCUUAAUUUAUAUCAUUUACAAAUGUUUAUAAUUACAUGAUUUCAAUUUUGCCCAAAAAUAAUAUUUUUUAUAAAAUUUAUAAAUUAUUUUUAAGAUCUACUAUAUGAAAAGACUUACAAAACUUGAGAAGAUUUUACGGGGUUAUAUUCGUAAAAAUGAUUUCUGAUUUUUUGUUUGUUCAUAAGAGGUUGGUUGUAAUUUUACUGGAUUUUUAGGUUAUUUUCACAUUUGAUUCAAGUUUGGAUAUACAUUUAGAGUAAGAACCAAGUUCUAAAUCAUAUUUUGCAAAUUCCCCCUUAUAUAUAUGGUUUUCGAUCUCUGAUUUAGUCAAUCUUGUGUUGUAGUAAGCAUAAUUGAUAUUUUUUCAUAACUCAAAUAUUUAAAAAUCGAUUGAUAUUUAAUUAUAGGGGUCACAACAAACAAACCCAACUAUUAGCAGUCGGCACAUUCAAUAUCCACGUAAUAUUUGCAAUUUAAUUUAUAGGACUAAUCGUUGAUUGACUGGAUAAAAUUGAGAUUAAAAUAUUCAACCAUUAAAAAUAGAUGAAAUCAGGAGUAUUCCGCUUAUGAAUUAGGUGAUGAUUGUUUUCUCAGACCCACUGGUUCAAACGCAUCGGUUGCGGUUGCGAGAGUUUGUGCAUGCGGGCGGUUACAGUUUCUAACGGUUUUAAGAGAUUUGUACGACUGGUACUACGGUUAAAAAUUGGUGCGUUUGCGGUUAACUUAUGACUGGUUAACUACCAAAUGCGGUAAUAGUCAAAUAAUAAAUUAACAAUAUUUACAUUUAAUAUAAUUAUAAAAA